rnacentral:lncRNA from 1 species
CAUAUAUUAGGGAAAAGUUUGCGUAAAAAUGAAGAUAUUCAUGAAGCGAAUGUACAAAAAUGCAUCUGUCAGGGGCUCAGGGACUGAGCCACAGGAGAAGGAGGAGAUGGAGAGCGAAGGGGAACAAUCUGAGGGGAGCUCAGGAGGGUAUGACAGUGACCAGAGAGAUUCUCAGAAGGAGGCCCCCAGGGUCAGGGCAAGGGGGGCCAGUGGGGAGUCUCCAAGCGGCAGCUGGAAAUCAGGGCUAGCUUCCCCACCAGAGCGCAGCGGGGGGGAAGAAUCCCACAGAUUAGAACAAAAGCCUCCUCCUGCAGGAGGAGAGAGUGAGGCAGGACUGAACACGCCUCCGUCCGAGAGGGGAGGGGCGGAGGAGAGAGCAGGGCCGGCCAGCCUCCCUGAAGGAGGAAGCAGUGAAGGGAGCAGUGUAGCCGUUAGGAGGAAAGUGGGCGGCUGGGCGCGCGCGCCAAGUUCAAAUGUAGAGGCGCGCGGGACAGCAGAAAAUCCGGAUUGGGAGCCAGGUCCCAAAGCCCGCCGGAGACAGGGGGAGGAGUCAGAAGAAUCCGCCUCCGAAGAGUCCAGGAGGGUUGGGACCCCAGAGGGCAGGAGGACCCGGAGGCGAAAGGAGCAGAGGGAGGAAAGGAAGAGGUGGAGCAAAGCUCGGGUAUUGAACUGGUGUAAAGGAGGGGCGGAUUCAGACGGGACUUCGCCGGUCUAAGGACUCAGACGUAGCGCUGCGCGCCACGGAUGUCAAACCAACAAUGAACCACAAUAAAGACUUUUGGUUAUAAAGAGCAACUGGCGUUGGUCCUUUGUGAGCUGGGACCUGAGGCACCGCUGACAGCAUCAUAUUAGGCAAAACUGCUUGCAGAAAUGUGUACAUGAUUCAAUACUGCAUGUAAAAUUCUGUUUGUUAGGAGACAUCUGUGCUAAAAUGCUGAUGGAUUUCCAUGAGGUGUGUUUUUAAAAAAAACAAACAAAAAAAACAACAACCACAAAUUGCUGCAAACUGGAGAACUCAGAAGUGGAGAGGAUCAAAAUUGAUAUAUCCUUCCAUUCCUAUUGAGAAUAGAAUUAACCCUUAAGUUAUACACUGAAUGAGCGAGAAGGUAGCCAGAAGGGAAAAGCUUAAGAAGUGCAUUCAGCUCAGUUUGUCUGCUGUCUGCUGAGACUUGUAGUCUCCCCUAUAUGGCCAUCAUUUUUAUUUUAAAAAACUGUGGGAGACUGUGAGUGAGACAUGCAUUUGACCUACAACAUACCUGCCAUUUCAUUUCUUUUUUAUGCAUAUAUACCUCAAAUUGUAAAUUUAAUUAAACAUGUGGAUCAUACAAUAGAUACAACUCUUCAGAGAGCUGCAUUUGGAUAUGGCUUCUUGCAGAG